GACCAGGGUAGACUUAGUUGGUAGAGCACAAGACUCUUAAUCGUAGGGUUGUGGGUUCAAGCCCCACGUUGGGCA